rnacentral:rRNA from 1 species
GACGAACGCUGGCGGCGUGCUUAACACAUGCAAGUCGAACGGAAAGGCCCUGCUUUUGUGGGGUGCUCGAGUGGCGAACGGGUGAGUAACACGUGAGUAACCUGCCCUUGACUUUGGGAUAACUUCAGGAAACUGGGGCUAAUACCGGAUAGGAGCUCCUGCUGCAUGGUGGGGGUUGGAAAGUUUCGGCGGUUGGGGAUGGACUCGCGGCUUAUCAGCUUGUUGGUGGGGUAGUGGCUUACCAAGGCUUUGACGGGUAGCCGGCCUGAGAGGGUGACCGGCCACAUUGGGACUGAGAUACGGCCCAGACUCCUACGGGAGGCAGCAGUGGGGAAUAUUGCACAAUGGGCGGAAGCCUGAUGCAGCAAUGCCGCGUGCGGGAUGACGGCCUUCGGGUUGUAAACCGCCUUCGCCUGUGACGAAGCGUGAGUGACGGUAAUGGGUAAAGAAGCACCGGCUAACUACGUG